rnacentral:misc_RNA from 1 species
CUGAAUAAUAGUUUUGCCAUUCUUUUGGGCGAUGCAAUUGAAAAGGGUUGUGACAUCACAAUCAACGAGGAGAUACAUUUGAAAGAGUUACCUGAUUAACCGAACAAAUUUUGGGACUUGAAGAUGGAGCUGAUCUUGCAACAAAUUGCCCGAUAGAAAAUGCUGGUUGCCUGGGUUGAGGGAGUGUUAUGGUAUCACUUCCCAACAUAACAACAACGGACGACACAGUAGGUCUCUCUGCUGGGUCGUCUUGCAGAAUGCUCUUUAGGCCCUCAGCAGCCACACUUGAAUUCACAAGUGACGGGUCCAUCAAUUCCAAUCCUUCACCUUUAGACCACAAUUUCCAUGCAUAAGUGAUGAGGCUUUCACCCUCUUCAGAAAUAUAAAACCGACUGCUCCUUUUCCCGCUAAUCAUCUCUAAUAGGAGAACUCCAAAACUGAAAAUAUCUGAUUUUACUGAAAAAAAUCCUUCCAUAGCAUACUCUGGAGACAUAUAUCCAUAUGUUCCAACAAUUCUAUUUGUACUGUUGUUGUCAUUUCCUUGGAAAAUCCUUGCCAUUCCAAAGUCUGAUAUCUUAGGAUUCAUCUC